CAGUCGCCGCGGGAAUACGUAGGUCCCGAGCGUUGUCCGGAUUUAUUGGGCGUAAAGCGAGCGCAGGCGGUUAGAUAAGUCUGAAGUUAAAGGCUGUGGCUUAACCAUAGUACGCUUUGGAAACUGUUUAACUUGAGUGCAAGAGGGGAGAGUGGAAUUCCAUGUGUAGCGGUGAAAUGCGUAGAUAUAUGGAGGAACACCGGUGGCGAAAGCGGCUCUCUGGCUUGUAACUGACGCUGAGGCUCGAAAGCGUGGGGAGCAAACAGGAUUAGAUACCCCGGUAGUCCCUGUCUCUUAUACC
rnacentral:rRNA from 1 species